rnacentral:rRNA from 1 species
UACGUAGGGGGCAAGCGUUGUCCGGAUUUACUGGGCGUAAAGAGCGUGUAGGCGGCCACGCAGGUCCGUUGUGAAAACUGGAGGCUCAACCUCCAGCUGUCGACGGAACCGUGUGGCUAGAGUCCGGAAGAGGAGAGUGGAAUCCUGGUGUAGCGGUGAAAUGCGCAGAUAUCGAGGAGGAACACCGGUGCGAAGGCGGGU